rnacentral:rRNA from 1 species
GAUGAACGCUGGCGGCGUGCCUAAUACAUGCAAGUCGAGCGAACGGACGAGAAGCUUGCUUCUCUGAUGUUAGCGGCGGACGGGUGAGUAACACGUGGAUAACCUACCUAUAAGACUGGGAUAACUUCGGGAAACCGUAUCUAAUACCGGAUAAUAUUUUGAACCGCAUGGUUCAAAAGUGAAAGACGGUCUUGCUGUCACUUAUAGAUGGAUCCGCGCUGCAGUAGCUAGUUGGUAAGGUAACGGCUUACCAAGGCAACGAUGCAUAGCCGACCUGAGAGGGUGAUCAGCCACACUGGAACUGAGACACGGUCCAGACUCCUACGGGAGGCAGCAGUAGGGAAUCUUGCGCAAUGGGCGAAAGCCUGACGGAGCAAUGCCGCGUGAGUGAUGAAGGUCUUCGGAUCGUAAAACUCUGUUAUUAGGGAAGAAGAUAUGUGUAAGUAACUGUGCACAUCUUGACGUUACCUAAACAGAAAGCAACGGCUAACUACGUG